GGCAAUGAUGAUCCAAUCCGCAUUGUUUGAGUUGUAGUGGAGCCAAGACCCUGCUUUUGUAGGGAGAACCUACUUGGUGUAAGCUACAAUUCACUGAUAUUAAUUGGAUUUAACUGAGUC